UACGUAGGGUGCGAGCGUUGUCCGGAAUUAUUGGGCGUAAAGAGCUCGUAGGCGGUUUGUCACGUCUGCUGUGAAAUCCCGAGGCUCAACCUCGGGCCUGCAGUGGGUACGGGCAGACUGGAGUGCGGUAGGGGAGAAUGGAAUUCCUGGUGUAGCGGUGGAAUGCGCAGAUAUCAGGAGGAACACCGGUGGCGAAGGCGGGAUCCUGGGCCAGUACUGACGCUGAGGAGCGAAAGCGUGGGGAGCAAACAGG
rnacentral:rRNA from 1 species